GCGGCGUGCUUACACAUGCAAGUCGAACGAGGAGCGGAGUGCUUGCACUCUACAUCCGAGUGGCGGACGGGUGAGUAACACGUGAUCAACCUGGCUUCAGAUGGGGGAUAACCUGGGGAAACCCGGGCUAAUACCGCAUAUUGUCCUUUCGUCGCAUGGCGGUUGGAUAAAAGAGGGCCUCUGCUUGCAAGCUCUUGGUCUGAAGGGGGGAUCGCGGUGUAUCAGCUUGUUGGUGAGGUAAUGGCUCACCAAGGGCUACGACGUAUAGCGGGUCUGAGAGGACGACCCGUCACAUUGGGACUGAGACACGGCCCAGACUCCUACGGGAGGCAGCAGUGGGGAAUUUUGCGCAAUGGGGGCAACCCUGACGCAGCGACGCCGCGUGAGCGAUGAAUGCCUUCGGGUUGUAAAGCUCUGUCUAGAGGGAAGAUAGUGACGGUACCUCUGGAGGAAGCCCCGGCUAACUACGUGCCAGCAGCCGCGGUAAGACGUAGGGGGCGAGCGUUGUCCGGAAUUACUGGGCGUGAAGGGCGUGUAGGCGGUCUUUAAAGUCAGCUGUGAAAUUCCCCGGCUCACCCGGGGGUCUGCAGUUGAAACUUAAAGACUUGAGUGCAGGAAAAGAGGGUGGAAUUCCCCGGUGUAGCGGUGAAAUGCGUAAAUAUCGGGAAGGAACCCCGGUUGGCGGAGGCGGCCUUCUGGCCUUUAACUGACCCU
rnacentral:rRNA from 1 species